rnacentral:tRNA from 2 species
AAGAGGUAUUAGUAAAACUUACGUAACUUUGUCAAAGUUAAAUUACAGGUGAAAUUCCCGUAUACCUCU